UACGGGGGGAGCAAGCGUUGUUCGGAUUUACUGGGCGUAAAGGGCGCGUAGGCGGCCACCGCAAGUCGGUUGUGAAAUCUCUGGGCUUAACCCAGAAAGGUCAACCGAUACUGCGGGGCUAGAGUGCAGAAGGGGCAAUCGGAAUUCUUGGUGUAGCGGUGAAAUGCGUAGAUAUCAAGAGGAACACCUGAGGUGAAGACGGGUUGCUGGGCCAACACUGACGCUGAUGCGCGAAAGCCAGGGGAGCAAACGGG
rnacentral:rRNA from 1 species